UACGUAGGGGGCUAGCGUUGUCCGGAUUUAUUGGGCGUAAAGAGCGUGUAGGCGGCCAGGUAGGUCUGCUGUGAAAACUCGAGGCUCAACCUCGAGACGUCGGCGGAAACCAUCUGGCUAGAGUCCGGAAGAGGAGAGUGGAAUUCCUGGUGUAGCGGUGAAAUGCGCAGAUAUCAGGAAGAACACCCGUGGCGAAGGCGGUUACCUGGGGCUUUGCUGACGCUGAUGCGCGAAAGCGUGGGGAGCGAUCCGG
rnacentral:rRNA from 1 species